rnacentral:rRNA from 1 species
AACGUAGGAGCCUAGCGUUAUCCGGAUUUACUGGGCGUAAAGCGCGCGCAGGCGGUCAGGUAAGUUGGACGUGAAAUCGCCCGGCUCAACCGGGCGAGGCCGUUCAAAACUACCUGACUUGAGGGCAGUAGAGGGAGGUGGAAUUCCGGGUGUAGCGGUGAAAUGCGUAGAUAUCCGGAGGAACACCAGUGGCGAAAGCGGCCUCCUGGACUGCCCCUGACGCUCAUGCGCGAAAGCUAGGGUAG